rnacentral:lncRNA from 1 species
AAUCACGGAGAGCGGGUUCCGUCCCCUCCUCGCCCCGGCCUGUAACUGCUGCGGGGGCCGCUUUCUGGGCCCGCCCCUCCAGGCCAGGAGCCUUUUUCAAAAUGUGGCGGUGGCAGGGAAGGUUGUCUGCUCCAGAGGCUUCCCUAGAGUGAAGAGCUCUACUAUGUAUGCUUUAUGCGGCAGAAGGAGUGCUUUGGAGGAGUUUUUAAAUUUGUUUUUUUUUUAAAUCUUAUCGGUUUUAAUUGUAGCAAUGAUUCAAGAAACGUUAGUAGGUGCCCAUAACUUCGGUGGUGGAGAUCCAAAAGUGAACAAGACAGUGUUCUGGCUGCUAAAUUCUUCUUAACUGGUUAUGCCUGGAGACCUUCACUUGGUUCUGUGCCAGCACUGCCCAUGAACUUCAUAGACUGUGAUCUUUGCUAAGGCCUAAAUGAAUGAAGGUGCAGGACCGGAAGCAGAAGACAGAAAGUGGAGACCAGAUGUUUGAAGCUGGGUAAAGGCAGGGAUGGAGCAGGAACCGAGGAACAAACCUUGGAACUAGCCACUUGAUUGCCGAGCCCCAUAGAAGACAUAAUUUACAAGAAACUCAUAGAGACUCAAAAUGUAAGGUUCUCUGAAAGAAAUUGAGGUGUAGUUCUUAG